CAUAUCAAUAAGCGGAGGAAAAGAAACCAACAGGGAUUGCCUUAGUAACGGCGAGUGAAGCGGCAACAGCUCAAAUUUGAAAGCUGGCCCUUUCAGGGUCCGCGUUGUAAUUUGUAGAGGAUGAUUCGGCGAGGGCUCCCGCCUAAGUCCCCUGGAACGGGGCGUCAUAGAGGGUGAGAAUCCCGUAUGCGGUGGGCUGCCUUAGCCAUGUGAAUCUCCUUCGACGAGUCGAGUUGUUUGGGAAUGCAGCUCUAAAUGGGAGGUAAAUUUCUUCUAAAGCUAAAUACCGGCCAGAGACCGAUAGCGCACAAGUAGAGUGAUCGAAAGAUGAAAAGCACUUUGGAAAGAGAGUUAAAAAGUACGUGAAAUUGUUGAAAGGGAAGCGCUUGCAACCAGACUUGUCCGCAGUUGCUCAGCCGGUCUCCUGACCGGCGUACUCUUCUGCGGCCAGGCCAGCAUCAGUUCGGGCGGUCGGAUAAAGACCUCGGGAAUGUAGCUCCUCUCGGGGAGUGUUAUAGCCCGGGGUGGAAUGCGGCCAGCCUGGACUGAGGAUCUCGCUUCGGCAAGGAUGCUGGCGUAAUGGUUGUAAGCGGCCCGUCUUGAAACACGGACCAAGGAGUCUAACAUCUAUGCGAGUGUUUGGGUGUCAAACCCAUACGCGUAAUGAAAGUGAACGGAGGUGGGAACCCGCAAGGGUGCACCAUCGGCCGAUCCUGAUGUCUUCGGAUGGAUUUGAGCAAGAGCAUAGCUGUUGGGACCCGAAAGAUGGUGAACUAUGCCUGAAUAGGGUGAAGCCAGAGGAAACUCUGGUGGAGGCUCGCAGCGGUUCUGACGUGCAAAUCGAUCGUCAAAUUUGGGUAUAGGGGCGAAAGACUAAUCGAACCAUCUAGUAGCUGGUUCCUG
rnacentral:rRNA from 1 species